rnacentral:rRNA from 1 species
CUGGCGGCGUGCCUAAUACAUGCAAGUCGUACGCUUCUUUUUCCACCGGAGCUUGCUCCACCGGAAAAAGAAGAGUGGCGAACGGGUGAGUAACACGUGGGUAACCUGCCCAUCAGAAGGGGAUAACACUUGGAAACAGGUGCUAAUACCGUAUAACAAUCGAAACCGCAUGGUUUUGAUUUGAAAGGCGCUUUCGGGUGUCGCUGAUGGAUGGACCCGCGGUGCAUUAGCUAGUUGGUGAGGUAACGGCUCACCAAGGCUACGAUGCAUAGCCGACCUGAGAGGGUGAUCGGCCACAUUGGGACUGAGACACGGCCCAAACUCCUACGGGAGGCAGCAGUAGGGAAUCUUCGGCAAUGGACGAAAGUCUGACCGAGCAACGCCGCGUGAGUGAAGAAGGUUUUCGGAUCGUAAAACUCUGUUGUUAGAGAAGAACAAGGAUGAGAGUAACUGUUCAUCCCUUGACGGUAUCUAACCAGAAAGCCACGGCUAACUACGUGCCAGCAGCCGCGGUAAUACGUAGGUGGCAAGCGUUGUCCGGAUUUAUUGGGCGUAAAGCGAGCGCAGGCGGUUUCUUAAGUCUGAUGUGAAAGCCCCCGGCUCAACCGGGGAGGGUCAUUGGAAACUGGGAGACUUGAGUGCAGAAGAGGAGAGUGGAAUUCCAUGUGUAGCGGUGAAAUGCGUAGAUAUAUGGAGGAACACCAGUGGCGAAGGCGGCUCUCUGGUCUGUAACUGACGCUGAGGCUCGAAAGCGUGGGGAGCAAACAGGAUUAGAUACCCUGGUAGUCCACGCCGUAAACGAUGAGUGCUAAGUGUUGGAGGGUUUCCGCCCUUCAGUGCUGCAGCUAACGCAUUAAGCACUCCGCCUGGGGAGUACGACCGCAAGGUUGAAACUCAAAGGAAUUGACGGGGGCCCGCACAAGCGGUGGAGCAUGUGGUUUAAUUCGAAGCAACGCGAAGAACCUUACCAGGUCUUGACAUCCUUUGACCACUCUAGAGAUAGAGCUUCCCCUUCGGGGGCAAAGUGACAGGUGGUGCAUGGUUGUCGUCAGCUCGUGUCGUGAGAUGUUGGGUUAAGUCCCGCAACGAGCGCAACCCUUAUUGUUAGUUGCCAUCAUUCAGUUGGGCACUCUAGCAAGACUGCCGGUGACAAACCGGAGGAAGGUGGGGAUGACGUCAAAUCAUCAUGCCCCUUAUGACCUGGGCUACACACGUGCUACAAUGGGAAGUACAACGAGUCGCGAAGUCGCGAGGCUAAGCUAAUCUCUUAAAGCUUCUCUCAGUUCGGAUUGUAGGCUGCAACUCGCCUACAUGAAGCCGGAAUCGCUAGUAAUCGCGGAUCAGCACGCCGCGGUGAAUACGUUCCCGGGCCUUGUACACACCGCCCGUCACACCACGAGAGUUUGUAACACCCGAAGUCGGUGAGGUAACCUUUUGGAGCCAGCCGCCUAAGGUGGGAUAGAU